CCCCCACACCCCCAACCCCGGGCCGGGAGGCCGGCCCGCCCGCCCACGGCUGGCCUCCCCAGGCCGCAUUCUUGCGCCAAGUGCGAAAGGCUGUGGGAAAAGCAGUCCUGAACCGGCCAAGAGCCGGCGAAGCUGAUCCCGCGAUGGCAUUUUGUUUUGAACAGUUCCUGGGGUUGACGUUUCCUCAUAAGGUCAAUUUCAUGAAUUCAAAGGCAAAUUACCAGUGAUUUCUGGGUGCUGGGGCUGACGUUUUUGUGUGUGUAAUUGAAAGAAACUGCAAACAUUUUUCUAUGCUUCCAUCUCAGGAUGCUGCAAUCAGUGUGUCCAGCAAAAUAGAUGAAAAGAGAAUAGAGAUAAUGUUCCUGUGAAGUUUGAGGUUGAAUUCUGCAGGGCCAAAUGGAAGAUAUGGUUCAAUGG